CCCGCGCGUUCCGAUGGCCGCAGGCGCAGUUCCAUGCCACCAACUUGUUUGCCAUUGUGGCUUCUGGCGUCUAGACCAGGCGCGCCAGGUCUCCCUCGGCUCACUAGCCGCGCGCGCGCACUCUCCCUCGCAGCCUCCGCGCGCCCCUCGUCUAUCAGUCCCACCACACACACCCCGGCUAGGGGCGUCUACCCCACUCCCCCUUUCUUGUUCAGAAAAGCUAGUUCACCACAUAGCGGCCGCCAAACUUCUCCAGCAGCUCUUCGGAGAGAGGGAUGCUGAAGUGCAUCUUCAUAAUACCGGCGCGAGGAAGGCGGAAAGCCAGCCGCUUGUCAGGGCAAAUGGGAUAGGGCGGUCGCGGCAGCAUUUGUUUUCCCUACGUGAUGGAGACGAGGCUGUCUCCUCCCUCGCGAAGGAGGGAAGCGCCCACCGAGGCGAAGCAACAGCAGCAGGUCAGCUGUUGUCCUGAACAUCCACAGUGGCUCAUGCAGUCUGUGUAGACCUGUAAACCGGGAAAUGCAGAAUGCAACACUGGGUGUACAACUCAAUAUCAAAAGCAGAAAGUGACAAGCAUCCAAAAAGCCAAGAAUAAAAAAGGGGAAACGCCAAGAUGCUGGAAAAUGUGGUGUUUAUUUUCAAAAAAAGCCCAAAGGUUUUGGUCACUAUGUUGUCUGGCCUUCUUCAGGGGAUGGUCUGCAGUAUUGUUUUCUAGCAAAAUUGCUUGAAAUGAUAGACGACCACAAAAAAGAAUUCUCAUAAAAUAAAUACCAAAUUUUCCAGCAUCUUGGGGUUUCCUCUUUUUUAUUCUUGUACAACUCAGUAUAUGAAGAGGCUCAGGUUCGCUUAUUAAGAGAAACAAAGCUUCUAGCUCUUGUGACUGUGCAGAUAUGCUUCCAAAUUUAUGGGCAUUGCCUGGUGAAACCUCCAUGAUUAGAGAAGAGGCUCAGCAGGAUUUCCAACUGGCAGGAACCCACUAGAUCACAUAGCUCUGCUAUGUCUAUAACUGAAGCAACACAGUAUUGUUUUUAAUGGUGUUUUAUGUUUCAUCAUUGUACACACCACCCUGACAUUUUAUAUGGCAGUGGAUAGUAAAAAAUAAAAACACAUUUAAAAAAACAGAACAAAUGAUGAAAAUAAAGAA